rnacentral:rRNA from 1 species
CCUACGGGUGGCUGCAGUGAGGAAUAUUGGUCAAUGGGCGCGAGCCUGAACCAGCCAAGUAGCGUGAAGGAUGACUGCCCUACGGGUUGUAAACUUCUUUUAUAAAGGAAUAAAGUGAGGCACGUGUGCCUUUUUGUAUGUACUUUAUGAAUAAGGAUCGACUAACUCCGUGCCAGCAGCCGCGGUAAUACGGAGGAUCCGAGCGUUGUCCGGAUUUAUUGGGUUUAAAGGGAGCGUAGAUGGGUUGUUAAGUCAGUUGUGAAAGUUUGCGGCUCAACCGUAGAGUUGCAAUGGAUACUGGCAGCCUUGAGUACAGUUGAGGUAGGCGGAAUUCGUGGUGUAGCGGUGAAAUGCGUAGAUAUCACGAAGAACUCCGAUUGCGAAGGCAGCCUACUAAACUGCAACUGACAUUGAUGCUCGAAAGUGUGGGUAUCAAACAGGAUUAGAUACCCUAGUAGUC